GCGUGCAACGGAAGUGAACGACCGAAGAAACCUGCUCCCACGCAGAUAUCUCCUUAUACGGCAGAGAGAAGGAAACUCCUUAGAGUGGGAAAGUAUAAUCCAUUUCCCACACUAAACAGACCUAAGAUGAAGGAGCUCGCUGAUUGGUUGAAAACUGAUCCUGAUUAUUUCACUAAGGAAGAGGACAAACCACGUACAUCACCAACUUGGUGGUAUCAAAAACUCCGGACAUCCAAAGCAUGGCUGGAAGACGUACAUAUAGAUGCUUGGAUGAAUGUGCUGAGGCAGAGGUAUAAGGAGAACCCACAAUGUUUCCGGAGCGAGCGAAUGUGCUUCCUGGAUCACAACUUUACCCAGUCUUGGAGAGAACAGUAUCUGGUCUUCAAAACAUCGUCGUCUGAUCACAAUGGUUAG